rnacentral:misc_RNA from 1 species
GCAAACUUGGUCAUUUAGAGGAAGUAAAAGUCGUAACAAGGUUUCCGUAGGUGAACCUGCGGAAGGAUCAUUAACGAGUCUUGAAAGCGGAGAGCUUGUUGCUGGCGCGGAAACGCGCAGGUGCACGGCUUUGCGUGCUCAAUCCACUCAACCCCUGUGCACCUUUGCGAAGCUAGUAGUCUUUCCACUUGUAAUCUGGUUGUAAUGAGAGGGCUUGUUGCUUUAUGCGCGCGAGUUCACUCGACCGGAGGAGGAGAGAGGCGAACGCUUUGAUUUUUAUUACAAACCCAAUGUAAUGUCUUGUGGAAUGUAGUGCUCCUUGUGGGCGAAAUUGAAAUACAACUUUCAACAACGGAUCUCUUGGCUCUCGCAUCGAUGAAGAACGCAGC